UACGUAGGGGGCUAGCGUUGUCCGGAAUCAUUGGGCGUAAAGAGCGUGUAGGCGGCCCGGUAAGUCCGCUGUGAAAGUCGGGGGGCUCAACCCUCGAAUGCCGGUGGAUACUGUCGGGCUAGAGUGCGGAAGAGGCGAGUGGAAUUCCUGGUGUAGCGGUGAAAUGCGCAGAUAUCAGGAGGAACACCGGUGGCGAAGGCGGGUCUCUGGGCCGAUACUGACGCUGAGGAGCGAAAGCGUGGGGAGCGAACAGG
rnacentral:rRNA from 1 species